AAACGGCAGAGGUCACUUUUUGGGUGGGAGAGGCCCAGGUUCAGUUUCUACCAGUCGCCAAGAUGUUCAGGAAAUAUACGCAACCAAGCAUUGAAUGCAAAAGUGAUGACAGGGACGUUUAUUUGCAAGUUUCACAUCAAGAAACGUAAUAUUUACAAACACCAUGAAAACGAUUCAAUGAGUGAAACAUGGUAACAAGAAAUUCCCCUCUCGUUUGAUCAACCUGCAACAUGCCUUUGAAACAUAGGAUCCCCGAAUUUUUCCAUCCAGACGAAGUCAUCGUAGAGAGAGUGGUACACUGGGUAUCCUGCAAUAUCUGAAUGAAAAGCGAGUUACAAUGAACACUUGGUACAAUGAAGGCUCCUAACUAAGCUUUGGUGAUACCUCCUGUGUUGCUUUUUUUAUCAAUUCAUCAAGCUGCGGAGUUGCACGGACAUUGAACCCCGGUCCACCA